GGCCGGGUAGCUCAGGUGGUUAGAGCAUUGUCCUGAUAUGCCAAAGCUGCAGGUUCAAUCCCCUGGUCA
rnacentral:tRNA from 1 species